GGAUGAGCCGAGAAAGUGGAGUUAUCACCGAGAGUGAGUCCUAUGUAUUCUUCGAUGCUCGAAUGCUGCUUGCUUUGUGCUUUGUGGAACUCUCGAUGAUGGGAGUCAGCUACCAAGUGAAUAUGACGAUAUUCAGGAGGUAGAUGGCUGGCAUCAUUAGGAGCUCUUCAGCAGCUGAUGGCAGAGAAGUGUGGGAAUCUAGGAAGAGCCUAGGGAGUAACCUUAGCCAGAUGAGUGCGCUGGCAGAGUAGAGAAUUUCGCUGGGGAGCGAGCGCGCGACGGAAUUGGUGAACGAGAAGGUCGAGCAGCUACUUAGGAGCUCCGGGAUAGUCCGUGUGGAAAGUAUGGGUAGAUGUGGCAGGUAGUAUGGGCCCGUACUACUGAAAGCAGAGGACCCAUACUUGAUACAGGGAGUAUUCUGAAGGUUCUAAGGAGCGGAUUGAGGAGUGAUGUUAUGGUUCGAGUACCAUACAUCGGAGCGGAUUGAGGAGUGAUGUUAUGGUUCGAGUACCAUACAUCGGAGCGGAUUGAGGAGUGAUGUUAUGGUUCGAGUACCAUACAUCGGAGCGGAUUGAGGAGUGAUGUUAUGGUUCGAGUACCAUACAUCGGAGCAGAUUGAGGAGUGAUGUUAUGGUUCGAGUACCAUACAUCGGAGCGGAUUGAGGAGUGAUGUUAUGGUUCGAGUACCAUACAUCGGAGCGGAUUGAGGAGUGAUGUUAUGGUUCGAGUACCAUACAUCGGAGCGGAUUGAGGAGUGAUGUUAUGGUUCGAGUACCAUACAUCGGAGCGGAUUGAGGAGUGAUGUUAUGGUUCGAGUACCAUACAUCGGAGCGGAUUGAGGAGUGAUGUUAUGGUUCGAGUACCAUACAUCGGAGCGGAUUGAUGAGUGAUGUUAUGGUUUGAGUACCAUACAUUGGAGCGGAUUGAGGAGUGAUGUUAUGGUUCGAGUACCAUACAUCGGAGUGGACUAAGGAGUGAUGUUACGGUUCGAGUACCGUACGCCGGAGCAUAUUGAGAAGAGAUGUCAUGGAAUGAGUACCAUGGUUCGUAGGGAAUGAUGCUUGUGGUUCUCCGGCUAUCCGGUCAUGUUUGAGUUCGAAGAGGCGUCCCUUGAGAGGGAGAUCGAGAGCCUCUCAGACUAUUUUAGUAAGGAGUCAGUGAGAAGGGAGAAUUUCGAUCUGAGUUGAGCGAUCAGUCAAUAAGGGAGAUGUCACCUUCUAUGAUCUGGGUGGUACUGAUUAUGUUUGUGUGCAAAAUAUGAGAAGCAUGAUGUUUAAGGUAGCAUGUGUGCCGCGAGGCAGUGAUUUAUCAUGAUCUGAUAUUCAGUUGGGACUGAGAUAGUCGAGGACCACAUUACGCCUAUUUUAGUAUAGUANGAGUAUGUGAUGAGUAAGAGUAUCCAGUUAGAACCCAUGAGGGGUAGAGUUACAGAGUUCGGUGGUACUUUCGAGGAUGAGCCGACAAAGUGGAGUUAUCACCGAGAGUGAGUCCUAUGUAUUCUUCAAUGCUCGAAUGCUGCUUGCUUUGUGUUUUGUGGAACUCUCGAUGAUGGGAGUCAGCUACCAAGUGAAUAUGACGAUAUUCAGGAGGUAGAUGGCUGGCAUCAUUAGGAGCUCUUCAGCAGCUGAUAGCAAAGAAGUAGGAGGACCAAGGAAGAGCCUAGGGAGUAACCUUAGCCAGAUGAGUGCGCUGGUAGGGUAGAGAAUUUCGCUGGGGAGCGAGCACGCGCGAUGGGAUUGGUGAAAGAGCAGGUCGAGCAGCUACUUAGGAGCUCUGGGAUGGUCCGUGUGGAAAGUAUGGGUAGAUGUGGCAGGUAGUAUGGGCCCGUACUACUGAAAGCAGAGGACCCAUACUUGAUACAGG
rnacentral:lncRNA from 1 species